rnacentral:rRNA from 1 species
AUUGAACGCUGGCGGCAGGCCUAACACAUGCAAGUCGAACGAGUGGCGGACGGGUGAGUAAUGUCUGGGAAACUGCCUGCUGGAGGGGGAUAACUACUGGAAACGGUAGCUAAUACCGCAUACCAUCAGAUGUGCCCAGCUGGGAUUAGCUUGUUGGUGGGGUAACGGCUCACCAAGGCGACGAUCCCUAGCUGGUCUGAGAGGAUGACCAGCCAGACUGGAACUGAGACACGGUCCAGAUUCCUACGGGAGGCAGCAGUGGGGAAUAUUGCAAAAGGGGCGCAAGCCGGAUGCAGCCAUGCCGCGUGUAUGAAGAAGGCCUUCGUGUUGUAAAGUACUUUCAUCGGGGAGGCGUUACCCGCAGAAGAAGCACCGGCUAACUCCGUGCCAGCCGCCGCGGUAAUAC